CGGGCAGAUGGCGCAGCUGCCUUCCUGGUGUCCCAGUGUCCAGCUUGCAAAGGCUGGACUGCGGGCCGUGGACUGGUUCGGGGGAGUGGCUAGCCAGCGAUUGCUACCAAUUCGGCAAACCAGACCCAAUCUCCGCUAUCUACUCGCCUGAUCCGGUUCGAUCCCGUAGCAUUCUACCCCUGAUUUUACCACAGGUGCAGGAUCCUUUUUUGGAUUACCUGGAUCCAUGUCUGGAUUAAUUGUGCAUGCCAUCUUUGCUUUGGUCCCCUGCUUGGGCAUUUGUACCUUAGUCUGUUUAUAACUUUCCAAAAUCAAAAUUCUAAUGGCCAUUUGCAGUUUAUUCCAAAAAAAAAGUAAGUAAGGCCUUGUACUUAAAACUUCUCUAUCUAAGGAUUGAAGGAAACUUACCUGGUGCUGUAAAACCUGUUGAUCUAAGGAUCCUAAUAGCUGAAAAGCAGUUAAGCACUUUCUGAAAGUGAUUAGAAAAGGAGGUAAGAAAACCUGUGUCCUUUUGAACGGACCAACCAUGGUUUGAGCAAUAAGAUAGCUAUUCCCUCAUCUCUUACAGGCUCUAAACCCACCAGAGACCAUGUCUUACAGUCUCCUCACAAGAAGUAGGUAUCUGGAGCACUUUUGUGUGACUUUAAGUCAUCUCUUUCUAUGGAGUGGGAUUAAUGAAGAAUCAGUUUCUUCAUUCUCUUAUGGUAAUCUGCUCUACUGUCUUCAGUUUGCCAUUUCUUUCCUGAAAGAUCCUUUUCUAUAUGCGUUUAUAAAUGCAUCCUAAAAGAUCAGAUAUAGUUUGAAAAAGGAGGGAGGAAAGUUUUUUUUAGGUCAUUGGUAUCCUGAUUAACACCUUUUUAAAAACAGAAACAAUAUGCAAGCAGCUUCAUCUCUUGAGAAACGAAUAGUUGAUCAAUGUAAUCAAAAUCUAUGGUGGAUUAUUGCUAUUUGCCUUGUGGUGUUGCCUAAGAAGGACAAUUAGAGAAUGCUAGUAUGCUGAGGUGAUGUUGCUGAGUUCUGCUCUUCUAAAACAGCAAUUUAAUAUCUGUUAUUAAAUUCAUUAAUACCUGGGAAAAGAUAAUAAAAAAACAGAUCUGCGAACAUCUAAAAAAAAAUAAAGUUAUAACUAAAAGUCAGCAUAGUUUUGUUAAAAACAGAUCAUGCCAAAGCAAUCUUAUUUCAUUUUUGACAAAGUGAGUAAAUUAAUAGACCAGCGAAAUGCUGUGAACAUAAUAUACUUAGAUGUCAGUAAGACAUUCGACAAAGUAGAUCACAGUCUACUUCUUGGUAAGCUAGAAAAAUGUGGGAUAGACAGCAUCACCACCAGAUAGAUUGAUAAUUGGCUGACAAACCAUACUUAAUGAGUAGUCCUUAAUGAUACUACAGCUGUAUGGAGGGAAGUAUGCAGCGGGCUACCACAAGGUUCUGUCUUAGGCCCAGUACUCUUCAAUAUCUUCAUAAAUGAUUUAGUUGAAGGAAUAGAAGGGGAACUCAUCAAAUUUGCAGAUGACACUAAACUGGCAGGAGGAAUAGCCAACGCUCCAGAAGACAAGUUCAGGAUUCAAAAAGAUUUUGACAUACUUGAACAAUGGGCCCUAGCCAACAAAAUGAAAUUUAAUGUGGAGAAAAGCAAGGUUUUACAUUUAGGCAGGAAAAACCAAAAGUACAAGUACAGAUUAGACGAAACCUGCUCAAAAACAGCAACUGUGUGAGAGAUUUUGGAGUCCUAAUGGACAAUCACUUAAAUAUGAGCCAGCAGUGUGCAGUUGCAGCCAAAAUAGGCAAUACAAUCCUUGGUUGUAUAAACAGUAGCAUAGAAUCAAAGUCAUUUGAAGUAUUAGUACUGCUUUAUAAAGCCUUAGUAAGUCCACACCUGGAAUACUGCAUCUACCAUAUUACAAAAAAGAUGUUGACACUUUGGAACAAGUGCAGAGAAGAACAACUAAGUGGAUUAAAGGUUUGGAGACUAAAACAUAUGAAGAAUGAUUUGAGUUUAGCUAGUCUAGAGAAAAGAAGGACUGGGGAGAGGGGGGAUGAUAGCAGUGUUCCAAUAUUUGAGGGGCUGCUGCAAAGAGGAGAGAGUCAGCUUGUUUUCCAAAGCACCCCAGCGGGCAGAACAAGAAACGAUGGAAACUAAUCAAGGAGAGACGCAACUUGGAAUUAAAGAGAAACUUCCUAACAGUGAGAACAAUUUACAAGUGGAACAACUUGCCUUUAGAAGUUGUUGGUGCUUCAUCACUACAGGUUUUUAAGAAGAGACUGACAGUCACUGGUCUGAAAUGGUAUAGGGUCUUCUGCUUGAGCAGGGGGCUGGGCUAGAACACCUCCAAGGUCUCUUGCAGCUCUAUUCUAAUUGAAAUGUAAAUGUAAAAAAAUACUUAAAUCUAAUUUAAUAUGUACGAAUAGUAUUUAAUGUAAUAAUGGUGUAAUAAUGGUAUUACACCAGCAGAAGGAGCAUGCUGUGGAUACCAUUAGCCAAGGAAUUCUGACUAACUGGAUCCAGGAGAAAAAUAUUUUUCUGCCAUGGCUCUCGCCCUCUGGCACAUCAUGCCCUUUGAUGUAGGUUGCCUAGAGUCACCUGAUGAUGAUUUGGGUAGCAUAUAAAUUUAAUAAAUAAAUAAUGGGUCUUUAGUUACCCAUUGUUCUUAAACUUGAAAUACUCUAAUUUAUAUAUUUCAAGCUGUUUGGUAUAUCUAAAUAUACACUUUAUUCAGUACAAGUAUUAAUGUUAUGUAUACACACUCUUGUAGAUUUCCCAACUGUUGAAAAUUCAGUACUGUUACUACAACAAGAAAACGAUUUCCAUAACUAUUGGAUUUUUCUCCCAGUAAAGUUCCGUUUUGAUAGUUGUCAGUACAUCUUUUCACCCCAUUUCUUUAAAAAUGUUAUUUUAAUUUAGACUUAUGCUAUUAUUUAUAUUGAUACUUAUCGUGGAUUUUGAGCGGUUUUAUGAAGUCACAGCUUUGGUUUUGUUUCUUUUCAUUGUUUUGGUAUGUAUUCAAUGGUGGAUUAAGGCUCACUGGUGCCCUAAGCACAGACAAAUCUUGGUGCCCCCCUCCUUUCAAUGAAGAACCAAUCUUCAUUGGGGGGGUUCUUUCUCAACUUUGUGGUGCCCCCUUUGGGCCUGGUGCCCUAAGCACGUGCUUAGUCUGCCUAAUGGUUAAUACACCACUGUAUGUAUUGAUUUUAGAAAGUUUAAUGUACAAUUUCAUUUUUGAAUGGUGUGGGUUGAUUUCAUUUUUAAAACUGGAGGCUCAUUUGAAGUCAUGCUAUAAAUAGAAAGAAAAAAUUGGAAACUUUUCAACUUAGCAUUUACAUUUAGCCACUACCCUAUGGCCAUGUUGAGUUGAUAUUUAUGGUUUUAUUUUAAUGUGGUAAGCCACCCUUGCAGCGAGAUAAGUGGCAAACAAACAAAUUUAAUAAAUAAAUAAAUAAAUGAUACAUCUGAAUCAACUACUUCUUGGUUAAUUUACUUCUCUCUGUUGACAGUGCACGAUUGCUGAUAACCCAGUCAAUUGCUGAGUAAUCAUUUUCAGUGAUGUAAAAUAGGCUGAGAUAUUUGAAAAGAUAAAGGUUUCCUAUAUUUGUUUUUUUUUAAAUAAACAAGUGUAGCGAUAUCCAUUCUUUUGCCCUCAGUGGGGAGGAAGGCAAAAUAUAAAAUGGGUCAGGGACAAAAAGCCUACGAAGUCCCAUUUUAGCAUGGCCACUCUAGGUCAGCUGUGUUCCAAAAGCAGGAAGAGAGGACUAACAUUUGGUUAUUGCUAUUCACAUGAACAGAUUGACUAGAGGUAAGGAAAUUAGUUUAACUCAAAGAACUCCAAGCCAAUUUAUCCCCCAUAUCUUUGUUGACUGUAUUAAAUGUUCAUACAAAAAGCUAAUCUAAUGGUCGAGAUAAUUGUGUAUAUAUUUAUCUAUAUGUAUGUAUGGCAUACCACCCAGCAUGAUGUCGUAUCUUUGUGCUUAAUUUCAAAACAGAUUUAUCUGAACACUGUAAUUAUGUUACAUCUAAAGCCCAAAAGAAUAAAGCUUAAUCUUAAGAGAAGAGAAACAAAAUUAAAUUUUGAUAUAAUAUUAAAUUAUAUUUUUAAUUAUUGUUGUUGAACAAAUUGUACCUUUGAAUGAUUGAUAAAGUAAAUAGAAACAAACAUGAAAAAAGAAAUAAUAUUUUAUUUCCCAAAGGAGUUACAGCAUGGUCUUAUCCCUAAAAUUAGGCUAUUGCAGAAUUACAGUUCAGUCCUAUUCCAGAAAGAAACCUGCCUGAUGGUGAUGAGGAAGGGAUGUCUAUAUAAAAUAAAAGUCUACAUUUAUUGUCAGUAUAAGCAAUAUUAGAGGUUCAGAGUUAAUGCCACAUGACAUCACAAGGGGGUAUAACAGUGUUUAAAGAGAGUUUAGGAUUUACACCUCUGUCCCUUUAUCAUCAUUCUGCUUGUAAAGAUUGUAAAGGAGGAGGUCACUUUCUUUUGUUUUUCUUUCCAGAGAUAAAUGAGCCAAACACAUAUUUUUGGAUUCUUCCGCUGGUUGUACACCUCUUUCAAUAAUGUAUUUCCUUAACCACAUGUUUUUUCUGUUUUGGUUAAAAAAUCUGGAUCACUAAUUAUUGCUGCGGCUAGAUUCCAGCUGUCAGAUAAUGUUCACAUGCAGACAAAGAAGUCUUUAACUUCAACAAGCAUUGUCUAACCUGGCACAGUACUCACUCAGCACAUUGCUGUGUAGAAAUAGAUGCUAUGAGAUGCAACCUCCGCAUUAUUCCAAUUUAGCUAUUAUUAUUGCAUAAGUAAAAGGGAUGGGCAAACACAACAUUGUAUGAGAUUAAUAAGAAAUUACUGACACUACAAGUCCAGUGGGAAAGAGAAUUAUAAUAAGAAGCAUAAGGUGUGGGUGAGAAUCUGGCAUACUAAGUGAUACUGAUUUUUUAUCACCUCAGCUGCAAUGGAUUCAACUAAAUGUGACUGUUGUUGCUUCCUUAUUCUAUACCAUUUAGUACAAAAAUCAAAUUCAACAUUGCAAUGAUUUAGGGACAUCUUCCUGGCCAUAAGCAUCAUGUCAUUCAAUUUUGUACUUGGACAAAAUAGUAUAUAUUUCUGUUAGAUAAUACUUGCCUUGCUGUUAUCAUUAUGAAAGUAACUCUCUUUUUUUCCUGUGGAAUGAUGGUAUCAUAUCUAUGCUAAGAAGCGCAGUGGCACAUCUCCUUAGGACUCUGGGUUGGAGAUUAGCAAGUCUGCGUUUGAGACCCGAGUGCUGCUGCAUGGUGGAAUGAGCUCCAGGGCUAGGUCACCUUUCUUCCAAGAAGUCAAGGCAAUGUACACAGCGCAUCCUCCUUCACAGGUUUUGUGCCAUAAGCCUGUGAGUUAAUGAUUAUCUCAAAAUCAUCCAAUGAACUGUCAUGUCCAAGAAUGAUCUUGAGUUUAAUACCUGAAGUACAGAUCGGAGGUGACCAAAGCACGUGAGCAAAAUCUCCUAGUCCAGGAAAUGGCGCAAUUGGUGCAUCAACACAAACCUGUGCAAAAACAUGCCUCCAGCCACUCUGCCACCUGCUCCUCAAGAAGGAGCCAUGAGUCUAGGAGGAUUCCCAAACUGCACAUCAGCUCAGAUUAGUGAAGUACUUCCCUGUCCAGAGUUCAAGAGCCUGGGGAACUCCACUGCCAGUUGCAGGAAGGAAGGAAAUCUACAACACAAGGACUGGAGCUUUUUUGCCUGGCUGUUGGUAAGACCCAUGGAUGGAAUCCAUAAGUUGCCUGUAACAGAGACAAAGCAAAUGUGUUGCAUUGUUGUAAGCAACUUCAGCAAGAGGUAUGAGAUCAGUGUGAGAUCACUAGGAACACUGGUGUGUUCCAAUAUUUCAGGGGUUGCCACGAAGAGGGAGAGGGAGUCAAGCCAAAAGCACCUGAGAGCAGGACAAGAAGCAAUGGAUGGAAACUAAUCAAGGAGAGAAGCAACCUAGAACUAAGAAGAAAUGUGUCACGUGACAUAUUGUGAUGUAUCAUGUUUUUUUGCCUUUGAAGAGCUGGUGGCCUGCACGUGACCCAUUCGGCCAUGGGCUGCCAGGACAUGCCUGGUAUAGGGUUUACUGUUUGAACAGGGUGUUGGACUAGAAGACCUCCAAGGUCCCUUCCAGUUCUAUUUUAUUCCAUUCCAUUUCAUUCCACCAGUCUUGUUGGUAUGAAAUAUAGAAUCUUAAAUAUUUCUGCGACAGUUAAUUAACUUUCUCAGAUUCUUCAUUGGACUUCAUUGAUGUGAGGAAGAAAAUGAUUUUAAUAUUUAAUAAGUGCAAGAAGGCCUUUCAAAAUAUGGAGUGAAUUAUUUCCUCCAUCUCCGAUCAAAUGACUGACUUAAUAUUGAAAGAUGUGAUUCAAAAAGAAUUGAGAAAAAGAAUCGAUCUGUUUCCUGGGUCAUUGGGAGGCAGUUGCAAACAAACAAACAAACAAAGAAGAGCCAAUUUGGUAAAUAAACCAAGUAUAUCUCAUACUAGUAUAUCUCUGCACUGGGAAAAGAUCAGUGAUAAAAUCUAGUGAAACAGUGUCCCAGAGCUGCAAUGGGGUGUCUAGUUGCUACAAUUUCCCAGCUGUCUAACUAGGGAUUGGUUUUGAUCUAUGACUGACAUGACAAGAAGAAAUACAGUGCCUUAAUGUUGGCACAGAUAUGAAGCCAUAAAAAAUUUCUGAAGUCUAUGUUGGGAUCUCUGAAGUUUAUGUUGGGUUUUAAAUAUCUUCCUGUAUCCUGCUAUUUUGUUGCUGUGGCACAACCGUAGUACCUUAGGGAAGGGGAACAUAUAAACAUCCAUUGUUCAACAGUUGUCCUCCCUCCACUAUGAAAGGCACAACAGCAUUUUGGAAGUCAUCCAUCUGGGCUAUGGCAUAUGCAUCAGCCCUAAUCUGAUCAAAUAUAUCAACAGUCUGUCUUCCUACUCCGAGAUUUUCAUGUUGGUUCAGGUUUAUGGUGCAACUCAAAAGUUGUAUGGAUAGAGUACUUUUGCGGGGUGGAAGAAGAGGUGACUGGGGCAAAUGGCUUAUAUUUGUGUCUGUCUGGAACUUUGCUUUGGGAGCCUGGGAUAUAUGAGAUAUAAAAACCAGAGGCCACCUGAUUUGAUACAAGAUGAGAGAUUACAUGUUUUGGAAUUUUUAAAAAUGCUUAUGGUCUAUACUAAUUUGUAUAGGAUGGAUUGUUCCUUCCAUUAGAUGUCUCCAUUGUUUAAAGGUAUUUUUUUAAACCACCGCAACUCUUUAUUAAAAAUUCCAGAGUUCCUUUCUGCUAGGAAGAGCACUCUUUAAAGGUACACAGUAGUAAAUCUGUCCCUUCCACUUUUCCACUUGGAGCAGGACUGCUCCUAUCGUUCACAUCUGAUGCACUUGUCUGCACCACAAAGCAGCAGGAGGGAUUGGUGUGACAGUGAAGAGAGUGAGAAGAAAGGAAACAUCACUUGCUCUUGGGUCAGCCAAGAGAGUCACUGAUGCUUUGUUAAGAGUUGGGAUGUGGUCAGCAAAAUUAGGGAUGCAUUUUCCUAUAGAAGUUAGCAAAGUCUAGAAAGCAUUGCACAUUUUUCACAUUAUGGGGAAGAGACAGGUGCCAUGACAGAAUAGAUUGUACCUUUACUGGAUCCAUCUGUAUGGCUUCUGUGGAGAUUCUGUAAUCCAAAUAGUCUAAUUGUGGAAGCUGAAAUGUAUAUAUUUCUAAUUUAGCAAAGAGCUUGUCCCAUAUUUUUUGCAAUACAUUUCUGACAUGGGUGACAUGCAGGGAGAGAUCUUUGAAAUAAACUAGUAUGUCAUCUAAGUAUACUAUCAUGUACUUGUGUAACAUUUUUCAAAAUAAUUCAUUCAUGAAUAUAAAGAAAACAAGUUAGCCAGGUCAAAAAACAUCACUAUGGAUUUGAACUACUCAUUUCUUGUAUCAAAAGCUGUUAAAUACUUGUGUCUUUUAUCUGUUGUAAGAAUUUUUCAAGUUUUGUAAAAAUGUAUCUUGAUGGAGCUAUUAGGGACAUCAUAUAAUAAAUAACGUAUUGAGACAAAUAUCUCAAAGUAAUACUAUUUAAAAUCAAUAAAAAGUAAGAACUAGAGCAAAAUCAUGUUUCUUAUUCACAAACCUCUUGGGUGAUCCAGAAUGGUAUGAUUAGAAGUCCAUGUUCACAAUUCAUAGUCUUGAAAGCCAUUGAGAGAUCCAGAACCAAAGAGUCACAUUCCCUUUGUCAACUUCAACCAUUUUUUCAGAUGAUCAAAGCAGUCUUGAAAUAGAUUGAAAUCAUUUGUUUAUUCCGGAUCCCUGCUGCUAGAAAACUAUCACCCACUUGAACACCUUAUUCAUGGGAGAUGAGUCUAUAAUUGCUAAUCUUUAAAGCAUCCAAUAUAAGCUUCUUAAGAAAGGGUUUACUAUUG